rnacentral:rRNA from 1 species
CCUCCUCGCCGGAAGACCAAGGGUUCCUGUCCAACGUUAAUCGGGGCAGGGUAAGUCGACCCCUAAGGCGAGGCCGAAAGGCGUAGUCGAUGGGAAACGGGUUAAUAUUCCCGUACUUCUUACAAUUGCGAUGGGGGGACGGAGAAGGCUAGGUGGGCCUGGCGACGGUUGUCCAGGUUCAAGUGCGUAGGCUUAAGAGUUAGGUAAAUCCGGCUCUUUCUAAGGCUGAGACACGACGUCGAGCACCUACGGGUGUGAAGUCAUUGAUGCCAUGCUU